GACGAACGCUGGCGGCGUGCUUAACACAUGCAAGUCGAACGGAAAGGCCCUGCUUUUGUGGGGUGCUCGAGUGGCGAACGGGUGAGUAACACGUGUGUAACCUGCCCUUGACUUUGGGAUAACUUCAGGAAACUGGGGCUAAUAUCGGAUAGGAGCUCCUGCUGCAUGGUGGGGGUUGGAAAGUUUCGGCGGUUGGGGAUGGACUCGCGGCUUAUCAGCUUGUUGGUGGGGUAGUGGCUUUCCAAGGCUUUGACGGGUAGCCGGCCUGAGAGGGGGACCGGCCACAAUGGGACUGAGAUACGGCCCAGACUCGUACGGUAGGCAGCAGGGGGGAAUAUUACACAAUGGGCGGGAGCCUGAUGUGACAACGCCGCGUGCGGGAUGACGGCCUUCGGGUUGUAAACCGCUGUCGCCUGUGACGAAGCGUGAGUGACGGUAAUGGGUAAAGAAGCACCGGCUAACUACGUG
rnacentral:rRNA from 1 species